GACGAACGCUGGCGGCGUGCUUAACACAUGCAAGUCGAACGGAAAGGCCCUGCUUUUGUGGGGUGCUCGAGUGGCGAACGGGUGAGUAACACGUGAGUAACCUGCCCUUGACUUUGGGAUAACUUCAGGAAACUGGGGCUAAUCCCGGAUAGGAGAUCCUGCUGCAUGGUGGGGGUUGGAACGUUUCGGCUGUUGGGGAUGGACUCGCGGCUUAUGAGCUAGUUGGUGGGGUAGUGGCUUACCAAGGCUUUGACGGGUAGCCGGCCUGAGAGGGUGACCGGCCACAUUGGGACUGAGAUACGGCCCAGACUCCUACGGGAGGCAGCAGUGGGGAAUAUUGCACAAUGGGCGGAAGCCUGAUGCAGCAACGCCGCGUGCGGGAUGACGGCCUUCGGGUUGUAAACCGCUUUCGCCUGUGACGAAGCGUGAGUGACGGUAAUGGGUAAAGAAGCACCGGCUAACUACGUG
rnacentral:rRNA from 1 species